GCCGGGCAUGGUGGUGCAUGCCUGUAAUCCCGGCUACUUGGGAGGCUGAGGUAGGAGAAUCGCUUGAACCUGGGAGGCAGGGGUUGCAGUGAGCCAAGAUUGUGCCACUGCACUCCAGCCUACGUGACAGAGUGAGACUCUAUCUCAA
ensembl:misc_RNA Metazoa_SRP Metazoan signal recognition particle RNA